ensembl:processed_transcript
CUAAAACCCUUUUUUUAUCAGGAACUUCCUUCUUCCACCAUUCAUUUACAUCUGCAGCUGACGUCAAAAUAGCAGAAGCCGUUAAUAAUUCCCCAACGUCACUUUAGAGCUAUAUUUGAAUGACUCUGUCUAAAGUGUUGACAAAACUGCUGAUUUUGCUUUCUUUUUAAGAUAAUGCUGAACGUGAGAUGAAAUGCCAUCCAUUUACAGAGAAAUUGGGGAAAAAAAUAAACAGGGGGCUAAUAAUUCUGACUUCAACUGUAUAUGCAUAUGUAUAUGUAUAAACUGUUAUUCAUAUGGAAAUUUAUAUUAAAAAUUCUAUAAUAUGCUUCAUGCCCCCCGGGGGUUAGAGGUUGAGAACAGGAUGCAGGGGGUUUUGGGCGGCCGCUUCGAUCGGGUACUGUACCAAAGUUGGCAACCCGGGGGUGUUAAGUUUACAGACUGUACCAAAGAGGGGGGUAGGUGAAAUUACCGGAGUUUUUUGAGGAAGAAAUAAAAAUGUGAUGUUUGCGGGAGACUUGUCUGAAAUACGAAAUACUCCCAUUAAAAAAAAUGAAGUGUUGGCUGGUGUGCUUACCAGUUUAAUAUUGAUUUGAUCUGCUAUAGUUAGAAAUCAGACUG